AGGGAAGAGGCAAGAAUGCUGUGAGCCCAAGUGGAGAGUGAAAGACUGGAAAAUAUGUCAAUGUCAAUCGGUAGAGGACUUGUUAACUGUGGUACAUCCAUACAAAAGAGGACGGUGCAGGGAUGAGGAAGGAUCACUACAGGAUAUUCUGGAUGAUCUCCAGGAUCUAUUGUGCAUAUUUCCUAGCUCUAGCCAAAGAAAAUGGCCAAGAUUGAUGAGCAAUGGGCACCCCUAGAGCCCAGAUUAUAAUCUCUAAGGACCAUUACCCACUAAACAGAAUCAGGGUUCCUUGGAGAAAUGGCUACUUACGGAUCUGCAAUAGAUGAGCCUGGAACAUCUUGCCAUAACUGAAAGCGAGAAAAUCAUGGAGAUUACGAGUUCAUGUCAAGAAGACAAACAGAGAAGCCAACUUGAAGUGGUCCCCAUUGGCCAAGGAGGGACAGUUUGAACAUGAAAAAAAGUAAUGACUGCAAUAGAUUGAAACACAUCAAGUAUGUUAAAAUCUAUGAGCUCAUAACGUCCCUCCUCUAUAAGAAAGAAAACUUCAUCAGUCAUCUUUGGGAAAUACUAGGGCAUCAAUCAUUCGG
rnacentral:lncRNA from 1 species